GCUGGGGUAGCUUAAACAAAGCAUAACACUGAAGAUGUUAAGAUGGGCCUUGAAAAGCCCCGCUAGCA
rnacentral:tRNA from 1 species